CACACCUAAUCUGACAGUUUAGACACUCAGACUCCCUGAGUAUCACGCUCCGAAUGGAGAGGUUGCCUACAUGAGGUAGAGGCUUCAGCUGAGCUGGGUCUAAAGUGUCCAAGGAAGAUUUUGACUCCGCUGCAGGCAUUGUAGCCAGCUGAUCAUGACACCCAGGCUCCGGGCAGCAACGGAGCACCCUGUGGCUGUCCUCCCCAGCGCUGUCUCCCUGCCUUGAGAACCCUACUGUCAGGCUCAGCAGGGCUGCCCACCCACCGCUGCCUGUCCUGGCUACUUGGCCCCCUGCCUUGGUCAGGUGGUACCUGGAGGGAAGGUCUUGGGAGCAGCUUGGUGCAGUGCUGCUCAGCCUGCACUGCUUUGUGCUUUCCUCAACCCCUCGCCUGCCAUCUUGAAUCAAUUUUGAGGCCCUGACAGCUGGGAAGUCUGGAAUGCUGAUAGGUCCCUCCGCCGCUGACACCCACUUCUCACAUCCUCACCACUUGUCAUGGCACCCUGUGGGGGCUGAAGACACGCCUGCUAGGAUCUGUCCCUUGCCUUUGUUGCUGUCCUGGCUGACGCCUUCGUCUUCACAGCCCCAGACAGACGCACGGCGGUGAUGGAGCGUGUACAUGGAUAGUGGACGGGACGGAAGAAUCACUGGACCGUAAGGGCCAUGGAAGUGGGGACUGGGCCUGUAGCCUCCUCAGACCACACCUCUUUGGGUUGUAAAGCAGCAACAUCAAUCAUCAGCCAUGAGCACUUAA